AUCAGAACAUGGUAUUUAGCGCUGCUGGUUCAAAAUACACAUUGUGGAUGAUCCAUUGACAUUUCUCUCUUUACGCCAUUUCAGUUUCGUUUAUUGUAGUAUCAUUAAGUUUCCUGCCUGUCCGGACCGCUGUGCUUCAUGCGCAAUACACUGAGAAUUUGAGUACAGUACAUAGGAAAUGACUCAUAGGAGUUGAACUGUUAGCGUGGGUGUGUACUCUAUUUAAACAAGGCUCAGACUACUCGGGAUGACUCAGUGCGAGGCUAGCUUUCAAUGGUGAAAACCAACACGGGCUGUUCAUCAGAUGAACUUUCGGGAAUUGCGUUUAUACAAGAACGAUGGCUUCAUACAUUCUCUGUGCGCUUUGUGGACUGAUCGUUGCGACUAUAGUGAAACUAAACGGAGUGAAUGGGCAAAGCCUAUGCACCAGUAAAGAGUUCUGGAGUUCAGACAUAGACCAAUGUGUAUCCUGCUCAACAUGCAAGCAGUAUCCAAAGACUCCUUCAUGUAACACUUGCACAUUUACAGAGGAGAGAUCUGAUGUCUGGAGACUAGCAGCCAUUUCCAGCUUCUCUGUGCUGGCAGUCGUUCUGCUCAUUGCAGCGUUGAUCAUUGGGGUCAUGGUGCAUCGACGCACGGCAAACAAUAGGCCCCUUCGUGAACCUAUUGAAGAGACAACGGGACCUCUUCACCAAGCUUAAACAUUUCAGUAGCUUCAUCUUCCUGCUGACAUCGAUGUGACAGAACCAAGGGAACACCUUUUGAGGACCAAUCAGUCAGAAGAAUUUCUGUACAAUGGACUGUGGGUAUUAUUUGAGUAGAGUUUGACCAUCUUGAAUUUAUACUGCUAGUUAGUAAAGAUGUGCUCACACUCAUUAGACUGUCACAGAACGGAGCUCUCCCGUAGAACUGUGUUGACUCACGCUGUCAAUCCCGUCUUGUCUGAAGUCAGACUGUACUCUGAGGAAGACCGCGUGGUUCGUAAAGAGUAGCUCUCACAGCUCUUUUUGUAUUGAUGUCCUUUGACUAGUGAUGCUAGUUUUAGCCAGUGUAGAUAUUCCAAUCUAUCGAUAAGUCAUUUGUUCAACAAUAAGUAGGUUUAAAAACAGUAGUGAACAUGAGACAUAUCUUGAAUGAUUUGUAUUUAUUACCAUAACUGUCAAUGCUUGAACACCUAUUGGUGUCAGACAUAUUGUACAUUUAGAUUUUUAGGUAGAAUACCAGCAAACACACUGCCUCGACUUGCCACAAGCAGGAUGAAUGUGAAUACAGCACAAUCAAGCUUUCUGUGCCAGGUUUGACCUGCUGUACUUCUAAGACUAAAAGGUUUAUAUUUGCUGGUCAUAUAUAACAACCUCUUGUUGAAGUAUACAAGUGAUAUGUUAGGUGAGUGGUCACCAACCAGUCGAUCGGUCAUAUAAAAUAUAUUUAGAUUUGUUUGAAACUUUUUUUUGGUUACCACACGAUUCCAAGUGUUAUUUCCUAGUUUGUCUUCACUAUUAUUCUACAAUGUAGAAAAUAGUAAAAAUAAAGAAACCCUGGAAUGAGUAGGUGUGCCCAAACGUUUGACUUGGUACUGUAUAUAAUUUCCUGAGCUUUCUUAUAUCUUCUAGAUAUAGGACUAAGACGUAACCUUGUUUCUUAUUAUUUGAAUGUCUUUUUGCCAUUUAUGAAAGUGUGAUUUCAGUAUCUCUCUGGGCUAUAGUAGUAAAGGCCAAAUUCAAUAUUAUAUUAAAAAAAAUAUAUUUAUUUUUAUACCUAAAGGGGUCCUAAAAUUCCAAAUCAAAUAUCUAAAUGAGCCACCUCAUGGAAUCAUUUUAAGAUGAUCAUAUGUCAGCUUAGAUCCCACACCCAGCAAUGCAGAGAAAGUAGAUAAGUAAUAUUUAAAAAACACAAUACAAGUAACAAUAGAUACACAAUUAGUGACUAACUUUGCUAUAUUACAAGGGGUAAUAGUACCGAGUCGAUGUUCAGGGGUACGAGGUAGAUAUGGACAUAUAACUAGGAAUAAAGUGACAGUAGCAGCAGUAUAUGUGAUGAGUCAAAGCGAGUGCAAAAAAAGGGGUCAAUGCAGAUAGUUAACCAAAUACCUAUUCAGACAAACUAUUUCAGGGUCCUGUUACUAGUUUCAACAAAUCAUUUUUAAAGGAGUAGAAUGUUAACAUUUGUGAACUGUAGUCUUCCAAUCACGAGGCAAUGGGGAAAAUAAGUUGUGACUAUGAAACUGCUCAAACAUACUGGACAUUCUUUAACAGGUCAUUUUACCAUUUAUGCUGUCAAAUGUAGACACUGUGUAAUGUGUGCCCUAUGCAGGAUAAAGUAGCAUAACACGGAGGUUCCCAAACUGUUGUGCUGGAUAAGUUCUAGGUGGUCCAGAAUUCUGUGAGAAUAUGUUUAUAUCUAAGCAUUUAAAUCAUUCCCAGAUGGACACAAAUAGGGAAUCCUUACCACUGUGCUCUGAUUCAGAGGGGUUGGGUUAAAUGCGGAACACAUACUACUGGUCCAAAACUUUAGAACACCUACUCAUUCAAGGGUUUUUCUUUAUUUUUAACUAUUUUCUACUUUGUAGAAUAAUAGUGAAGACAGAAAAACGAUGAAAUAACACAUGGAAUCAUGUAGUAAGCGAAAAAGUGUUAAAGAAAUAAAAAAUAUUUUUGAGAUUCUUCAAAUAGCCACCAUUCUACCUUGAUGACAGCUUUGCACACACAUGGCAUUCUCUCAACCAGCUUCAUGAGUUUGUCACCUGGAAUGCAUUUCAAUUAACAGGUGUGCCUUCUAAAUUUGUGGAAUUUCUUUCCUUUUUAAUGUGUUUGAGCCAAUCAGUUGUGUUGUGACAAGGUAUACAGAAGAUAGCCCUAUUUGGUGAAAGACCAAGUCCAUAUUAUGGUAAGAACCGCUCAAAUAAGCAAAGAGAAAUGACAGUCCAUCAUUACUUUAAGACAUGGUCAGUCAAUACGGGAAAAUUAAGAACUUUGAAAGUUUCUUCAAGUGCACUCGCAAGCGCUAUGAUGAAACUGGCUCUCAUUAGGACCGCCACGGGAAAGGAAGACCCAGAAUUACCUCUGCUGCAAAGGAUAAGUUCAUUAGUUACCAGCCUCAGAAAUUGCAGCCUAAAUAAAUGCUUCAGAGUUAAAGUAAAAAACACAUGCCCAACAUCAACUAUUCAGAUGAGACUGUGUGAAUCAGGCUUUUAUAGGUCGAUUUGCUGCAAAGAAAUCACUACUAACGGACACCAAUAAUAAGAGACUUGCUUGGGCCAAGAAACACGAGCAAUGGACAUUAGACCGGUGGAAAUUUGUCCUUUGGUCUGGAGUCCAAAUUGGAUAUUUUUGUUUCCAACCGCCGUGUCUUUGUGAUACGCAGUGUGGGUGAACAGAUGAUCACCGCAUGUGUAUUUCCCAUCGUAAAGCAUGGAGGAGGAGGUGGUGUUAUGGUGUGGGGGUGCUUUGCUAGUGACACUGUCUGUGAUUUCUUCUGCAUUCUGCAGCGAUACGCCAUCCCAUCUAGUUUGGGCUUAGUGGGCCUGUCAUUUGUUUUUCAACAGGACAGUGACCCACAACACACCUCCAGGCUGUGUACGGGCUAUUUUACCAAGAAGGAGAGUGAUGGAGUGCUGCAUCAGAUGACAUGGCCUCCACAAUCCCCCGACCUCAACCAAAUUGUGAUGGUUUGGGAUGAGUCGGACGGCAGAGUGAAGGAAGAGCAGCCAACAAGGGCUCAGCAUAUGUGGGAACUCCUUCAAGACUGUUGGAAAAGCAUUCCAGGUGAAGCUGGUUGAGAGAAUGCCAAGAGUGCAAAGAUGUCAAGGCAGAGGGUGGCUACUUUGAAGAAUCUCAAAUAUAAAAUAUAUUUUGAUUGAACUUUUUUUGGUUAUUACAUGAUUCCAUGUGUUAUUGCAUAGUUUUGUCUUCACUAUUAUUCUACAAUGUAUUAUAGUAGUAAAAAUAAAGGAAAACCCUUGAAUGAGUAGGUGUUCUAAAACUUCUGACCGGGUCGUGUAUUUUGGUUGAAUGCAUUGUUGUGCAACUUACUCAGUAUUCCCUUUCCUCAGUUGAAACAAUGGAGAUGAGUCUAUGCUUGUGUGACAAUGUUUGUAACACUAUUAGUCACCGAAUCUCAACCCAGGAAGGAACAUUGCGGUUUAGCGAAAAAACUGAACCCAAUUGACAAGUAUAACUGUGUACUCAGCUUCACUCUUUAGUCAGAACACAAUUUUAAGGGUUGUGUGUCAGGAGAACGUGGAUGGCUGAAUAAUUACCUCAUGUUACUGACAAUUACUUUUAUCAAUGUUAAGUGGAUAUGGAUAACAGCAGCAAGAAAAGGGCAAUUUAUAUACAGAAUUAUUUAUUUCAAAUUAUAUUUUUGAAUGUUUAUAGUUUGUGUUAACAGCUAAAUGUCUUGAUAAAUACUGUCAAAGGGAUCCCUGCAAAGUUGUUUGUAAAACCAGUGACACCAGCUGACCAACUUUUUGUUACUGAGCAAUAAAUGACAAGUUGUUAAUUUA